GAUGAACGCUGGCGGCGUGCCUAAUACAUGCAAGUCGAGCGAACAGACGAGGAGCUUGCUCCUUCGACGUUAGCGGCGGACGGGUGAGUAACACGUAGGUAACCUACCUAUAAGACUGGGAUAACUUCGGGAAACCGGAGCUAAUACCGGAUAAUAUUUCGAACCGCAUGGUUCGAUAGUGAAAGAUGGCUUUGCUAUCACUUAUAGAUGGACCUGCGCCGUAUUAGCUAGUUGGUAAGGUAACGGCUUACCAAGGCAACGAUACGUAGCCGACCUGAGAGGGUGAUCGGCCACACUGGAACUGAGACACGGUCCAGACUCCUACGGGAGGCAGCAGUAGGGAAUCUUCCGCAAUGGGCGAAAGCCUGACGGAGCAACGCCGCGUGAGUGAUGAAGGUCUUCGGAUCGUAAAACUCUGUUAUUAGGGAAGAACAAACGUGUAAGUAACUGUGCACGUCUUGACGGUACCUAAUCAGAAGGCCACGGCUAACUACGUG
rnacentral:rRNA from 1 species